GGCAACCCCGUAUUAAAAAUGUUUUAUUUGCUUGAAUAGGCAAACUCACCUUAUUUAAUCACCUUAUUUUACAAAUUUGAUUUCAUUACAAUCAUCAUCUUAUUGUACAAAGUCAUAACUACAAAGAUAUUGAUAUUCGAUAAAGGAAAUCACAUAAAUUAGCGAGAGCCAACAGAAUAACUAAACGAUAACUCAUGAAAUAUUCUAGCAAUACAUUUGUAUACUCUCCCAAGAAUGCCACUAAAUACAUAAUCAUUUGGGAGGAAAAUACAUUGCCACAACACAUUUGCAAUAGGCGUUGUUCACACACUUUGGUAUCUUAGGAUGGUUACACAUUUCUUUGGGACAAUCGGAAUCUCUAAAACAUCUAUUUUUAUAUGCUGCAAUGAGUAAAAAUAAUAAAAUAAUGUAACUAAAAUAAGAUAAAAUAAUUCAUAUUUAUUAAAUUAGGAAAUUCAAAAACUAUCAAAAUAAUUACCUUCAACAUUUGUUGCAAUAAGAAAUAAGUAAACAAAGAUAAUCAUAACAUAUGUAAACUUGAUAGUUUUAUCCAUACUUCUCAUUCUUUGCAUGUAACAAAUGAAUUGAAA
rnacentral:lncRNA from 1 species